UACGAAGGGGGCUAGCGUUGUUCGGAAUCACUGGGCGUAAAGCGCACGUAGGCGGAUUUGCCAGUCAGGGGUGAAAUCCCGGGGCUCAACCUCGGAACUGCCUUUGAUACAGCAAAUCUCGAGCCCGGAAGAGGUGGGUGGAAUUCCUAGUGUAGAGGUGAAAUUCGUAGAUAUUAGGAAGAACACCAGUGGCGAAGGCGGCCCACUGGUCCGGUGCUGACGCUGAGGUGCGAAAGCGUGGGGAGCAAACAGG
rnacentral:rRNA from 1 species